AAAUAAUUAAUGGAUAAAUAAAAUAUAUUGAUGGAAUGAACUUAGUAAAAUAUUUGAUCAAAAUAAAUAAACAAGAAAAAUAAAAAUAAAAAUAGAAAAAAGUGUUAAAAAUGAAGAAAAUAAAAAAGAUCAUACAAAAAGAAAAAAGAGUGAGAAAAUGAACAAAGGGGCACGCCAGGGGUUGAACCCCAAACCUUGGGGUCACAGGUC
rnacentral:lncRNA from 1 species